rnacentral:rRNA from 1 species
GACAGAGGGUGCAAACGUUGUUCGGAAUUACUGGGCGUAAAGCGCGUGUAGGCGGUUAUGCAAGUCGGGUGUGAAAGCCCUCAGCUCAACUGAGGAAGUGCGCCCGAAACUGUCGUGCUUGAGUGCCGGAGAGGGUGGCGGAAUUCCCCAAGUAGAGGUGAAAUUCGUAGAUAUGGGGAGGAACACCGGUGGCGAAGGCGGCCACCUGGACGGUUACUGACGCUGAGACGCGAAAGCGUGGGGAGCAAACAGG